rnacentral:rRNA from 1 species
UACGUAGGGUGCGAGCGUUAAUCGGAAUUACUGGGCGUAAAGCGUGCGCAGGCGGUUCGUUAAGUCAGAUGUGAAAGCCCCGGGCUCAACCUGGGAACUGCAAUUGAAACUGGCGGGCUCGAGUGUGGCAGAGGGGGGUGGAAUUCCACGUGUAGCAGUGAAAUGCGUAGAGAUGUGGAGGAACACCGAUGGCGAAGGCAGCCCCCUGGGCUAACACUGACGCUCAGGCACGAAAGCGUGGGGAGCAAACAGG